GUGUUUGCAGUCUACACCAGACCUUAUGGCAAUGCUGGAUCCCUGACUCAGUGAACAAGGCUAGGGAUCAAACGUUCAUCUUCAUGGAUAAUAGCCAGUUUUGUUUCUGCUGUACCACAGUGGGAACUCCCAAGCUGAAUCUCACUGCUCUUGAACUUACCUGCCAAGAAUCAUUGUAGCCAUGCAUUUAAAUGUUACCUGCUUGAGGCCAGUGAUGGAAUAUGGCAGAAGGAAGAAAAAGGAUGUCAGUCCCGGGCUUUUGGAAAUUUUUCAGAAUAUUUACAGACCGAAGGAUCUCUGCCAAACAGGCAGGGAAGUGAAAAUAAGAGGAAAAAUUUAACAAUUAAAAGGGUGUCAUGAGAAUGGUUGGUCUGAAGAGAAACGUGGAGGAGAUAUUUCAAUAACUAAUUUUUAACGUGAUAUUUCUUUUGUCAACAAGACUAGGGUAUCCUCAUAGGAAUCUGUGUUUAUGGUGAACAUGGAAAAUAUGAUUGGUGGUAUGGAACUCAAGAAACAGCUUGGGAGGCAGGAUGGUGGAAGAGUAGGGGGACACGCUCGCCAUCUCCCACAAACACACACACACACAAAAACACAUCUACAGGUUAAACCACUUGCACAGAACAGCAAUCAAUCACUGGCAGAAGAACCUAAACUCCAAUAAUGGUAAGAAUCUCAUGAAAUAACUGGGUAAAACAAGAGAAAAGAGGAGAGAGAAGGUGAAUCUGAACUGAACGGGCACUCCUGAAAGGGAAUUGUGGAGGAGAAAGGGAUCCCACAUGCUGGAAAGUCACCUACUCGACAGAAAGAUCAACCAAAUCGGAAGAAUCUCCAGAUGCAGAGAAGAGUGCAGCAGUAAGUUGGAAUUCUGAAAAGCAGAGCGAGAACCGAACAGAUCAUCUGAACUACUGGCAGAGUCACCAAAAAUUGAGACACUUGAGUGGGGGCUGGGCACCAAGAUUUCAGCUCCGGAGGUUAGGCCCCAGGAACGGGCUGGGUGGGCAGUGUGGAGACUGCUUGGGGGGGUCUAGGAACCAGUCUGUCAGGUUUGACAGGGCAGAGACUGCCUGGGAGACUAGAAAGCAGAGCAUUGCGGGGGGAGGGAACAAUACACUGAGGGCUGGGAAGUGGAAAGCUACAUCAGAGAGAACCUGGGAGAAGAGCUGGACAAGGCACCAGUGUUGGGGAGGGGAGAGAAGGGGUGGGCCCCCAUAGAAUACUCCCCAUGCCACAGCGAGCUCACUGGCCCACCAGCUAUCAGAAAGCUGUGCUUCCCAGUGCAUCCCCCCCCCCACCUCUCCUCCAUGCACCAGACAUGGGGCUGCCUGCCAUCCCAGAGGGCUGGCCUCAACAACUGCCAGAAGCCUACCACCACAGGGGCUUCCCCUGCCCUGGCCUGCUGGACCUCUUGAGGGGCUACACCCCCACAGAGCAGCACCAAACACUGCCAGCCCCUGGGAAAGGCCUGCAGCCUAGAAAAGCUAGAACAAGCUUGGCUGGGCAGUGAAAAAUCUGCCUACGUGCUCAGGC
rnacentral:lncRNA from 1 species